rnacentral:sRNA from 1 species
GCCAGGCGUAGUGGCGCAUGCCUGUAAUCCCAGUCACUCAGGAGGCUGAGGCAGGAGAAUUGCUUGAGCCCGGGAGGCAGAGGUUGUAGUGAGCAGAGAUCAUGCCACUGCACUCCAGCCUGGGUGAUAGAGCAAGACUCUGUCUCAA